AUUGAACGCUGGCGGCAGGCCUAACACAUGUAAGUCGAGCGGAUGAAGGGAGCUUGCUCCUGGAUUCAGCGGCGGGCGGGUGAGUAAUGCCUAGGAAUCUGCCUGGUAGUGGGGGAUAACGUCCGGAAACGGGCGCUAAUACCGCAUACGUCCUGAGGGAGAAAGUGGGGGAUCUUCGGACCUCACGCUAUCAGAUGAGCCUAGGUCGGAUUAGCUAGUUGGUGGGGUAAAGGCCUACCAAGGCGACGAUCCGUAACUGGUCUGAGAGGAUGAUCAGUCACACUGGAACUGAGACACGGUCCAGACUCCUACGGGAGGCAGCAGUGGGGAAUAUUGGACAAUGGGCGAAAGCCUGAUCCAGCCAUGCCGCGUGUGUGAAGAAGGUCUUCGGAUUGUAAAGCACUUUAAGUUGGGAGGAAGGGCAGUAAGUUAAUACCUUGCUGUUUUGACGUUACCAACAGAAUAAGCACCGGCUAACUUCGUG
rnacentral:rRNA from 1 species